CUUAAUUCCCAUAUGUACCCCAGGAAUAAGUUCUGUGAUUACCUCCAUCCUCUGGUGAGGAAAUUGAAGCACAGAAACUUGCUGAGAUGAAAGGGGUAGUGACCUGCUUACUGGAGGAGGGACUUGAGGAAGGGGACACCAGAUGUAACCAAGAGGGUGAUGGAACCAUGAACCAGAACCCGAAGCUGGAAGGCGUCCUGGUGCUUCUGUAUCUGUGUUACCAGUAUCUUCCCCUGUCUGUUGUGAGCUUUUUCAAGGCCCAUCCUACUCAUUCAGUAAACCCUCAGACUUCAGACUGGAGCAGAACACAGUUAAUCUCCUGGGCCACCGUAGACCUGGCCACUCCCUACAUCUGCACAGCCACAUGUGGCCGCUGAGCACCGGGAAUGUGGCCAUAAGCCUGAGAUAUUGAGAUGUAUUGAGAUGUGCCGUAAGCAUGAAACAGUCACCAGCGUCUGAAGACGUGGUGUGGCAGCGGGAAUGUAGAAUAGCUCAUUCACAGUUCUUAAAUGCUGAUUACAUAUUGAAAUGAUGGUAUUUUGAAUAUAUUGAGUUAAAGGAUAUUUUAAAAUUAAGUCCACUUGUUUUUCAAACUUCUUUUCAGCAUGGCUAUUAGAAAAUUAAAAAUUAAUGUAUGGAAACCCUGACCCACAGCGCCCCCAAUAUGAUUGUAUUCGGAGAUAAGGCCUUGAAAGCAGUGAAUAAGUGAAAAAUGAGGCCAUGUCAGUGGGCCCUCAUCCAAUCCGACUGGUGUCCUUCCUUAUUUAUUUAUUUUUUUUUUUGAGACAGAGUCUCGCUGUGUCACCACGCCGAAGGGCAGCGGCACGAUCUCGGCUCACUGCCACCUCUGCCUCCCAGGUUCAAGUGAUUCUCCUGCCUCAGCCUCCCCAGUAGCUGGGACUACGGGUGCAUCCUUACUUAUAAGAAGAGGAAAUUGGGCACAAAAGGAGAUACCACAAGUGUCGUAGGGGAGAAAGAUCAUGUGAGGACACAGCAAAAAGGCAGCUGGCCGUCACAAGUCCGGAGACCUCAGAAGAAACAAGCCUGCUGACACCUGGAUCUUGGACUUCCAGCCUCCAGGACUGAGAGAAAAUUAGUUUUUGUUGUUUAAGCCAUCCAGUCUGUGGCUUUUUGUUAUGGCAAUGCUAACGAACUAAUACACUAGCCUAUUUCAUGGUAGAACUGGAGAAAGCCUGGUGACAAGAGAACAAUUUCCCCACGGCCAGAAAUCUGGCUUCCUGGGUCCAUCUGUCGGGACCUGAAAGACAGCUAUGAAUGUUUCUCACGUUGCCUCUGCCUCAGAUCAGUGUCUGUUUUCCAGUCCCAUGUCCAUAGUGCAUGCCCCUCUGUCUCCUCUUCUAGUAACAGUCUUUUUUCUUCUCUGACACAUGACGAAGAUUUAAGCAGCAGCAGCAUCAGAGAACUGUGUUUUGAAGAUUUGAGGGAAGGGUUGACCUCAGGAUUUUAUACUAGGUUUGUGUAAACACACAAGAUUCUUUUUCUCUCUGCCCCCAAUUGAAUCAUCACGCCCAUUCAAAUGAAACAUGAAGCCAUAAGUAUUAAAAUAUGCAUGAGAUUUUGAACAUGUUUAUUGGGAAAAAGAAUUUUGUUUUCUAGAAAACUCAUUUCCGUUGGACAGUGGGGGUCACCAAUAGGUUGGAAGGGAGAGUGCUAAGCUAGAUGUCCUCUAGGGUCUUUUUCUAGUUCUAAGAUGAACAAAUCUAUAAUUCCUGGUUCAGAGUUUCACUCACCGUCCAUGGGACCUUUCUCAGGGAUGGAGAGAGAGGAUUCAGAUCAGAUGCAUCCCUGAGUGUGAGCCUCAGCCACGGCUUCAUCUCAACAGACAUUUGCCCUCUAGAAACACAGUUAAGGUCAAUCCCUUUGCCAGGAAGUCAAGAAAUUGCCUUCUCAAUGAGGCCAGUAAAAUCGGCAUAAAAGGCCUCCAGAGACAUCAAGUCUCCCUAGAGAGACUUUCUAAACUUUCUGACCAUGGCAUCUAUGUGCUGGCCUGAACCCAGAAUGCACUGAAGGAAGAAAAAAUACAAAAGACGAUGAUAGACCCAAGGAUUAUCUUCUUGGCAUUCCCUAGAACAGCUGUCUGGCAAAUGUUACACCACGUCUGAGAUUAUUUUAGAAACUUUGUCUUGAAGAAGAACAAGGAGAGAGAAUACCAGACAGAUUUGCCCUCAUUUUUUGUCACAGAAUAAGAAUUUCAAGGACAUUUUUACUUUCAGUGACAUCAUCCUGGCAAUGCUCUUUUCAUUUUUUGAAACUUAAAUCGUGUCACAUCUAAUAAAUUUAUAGCUGUGUGUGGUUACAGCAACGAGUUGGUACCAACGGCUAUUUAGGUCUUCUCCUCCCUCUUCUUGUUUCUUUUCCUCAUCAUCAGGAUAAUUAGACUAUUCUACAGAUGUUUUAAACAAAAGAAUUUCACCAAGUCUCACUAGAAACCUGUCCUAAAUGAAAUUCGUAUCUAGUGGCAAAAUGUCAAAUGAUAUUUGCUUUCCUAAAUUUCUUUUUAAGCCUCAUUUUCUGCCCACAUGUCAUAUUUUCUGUGUUCAAUGAAACAGAUUAUGCCAGAAAUGAGAAAACAAAAUUACAGCAAGACAGUGAUCAUAGUAUAGUAUCAUAAAACUGAGUAUAGGCCUGGGGUCUCUAUCUAUGGGAAUGAACGAGAGCUUGGCUUAGCAUGACCCCCUCACCAUGUUCUUGUUCAUAUCAGAAUUCUAAGCGAAGGGGCUGCUUGUGAACAUGCAUCACUUAUGUUAAUGUAACCUCUGAACUGUGGAUGCUUGUCUCACAGUCACCACCUGAAAAUGCCACCUUAGUCAUUCUGAGUUUGUGUGUCUGUGCGUAUGUCUGUGUGUGUGUGUGUGUGUGAGGUACAGUGAAGGCCUCUGUGGAAUGAGGUUUCCUUUUCAAGAGGUAGCUCUGGCCUGAGAAGCUGAGAAGAGUAUUCAUUACUUGUCAGGGAUGAGGUGGCGUGGGGUUGCAGGGUGAGAUGUGAUGGGAGAAGGAACUAUGGGAUAAGAAAGGAAUGUAUCCAAAGGCCUGAGUUCUAAAUUGGAUUCGAUUUUCUUUUUCCUAGUGAAUCAAUGUAAAAAUGUUGGUUAGAUUCCCAGGCUAGCCCAUAGACGCUUGUUGAUGCAUGAUGUAGGGGAUAUACUACGCAUUUUUUUCUAUUAUUGUUUUUGUUUUGUGUAUGUGGAAGGCUAUGUGUGUGGGGGGGGGACGCACACGCUUGGUUACAUUAGCUUGUGUAUGUAUUGGUUACAUUAUAUGCUAAUUAUGGGGAGUUUUGUGACUAG
ensembl:lncRNA